AUACGAAGGUGGCAAGCGUUGCUCGGCAUCACUGGGCGUAAAGAGCUCGUAGGCGGUGACGCAAGUCAGUGGUGAAAGCCCUCGGCUCAACCGAGGAAUUGCCGCUGAUACUGUGUUGCUAGACGGCUGGCGGGGUGAGUGGAAUUCUCGGUGGAGCGGUGAAAUGCAUAGAUAUCGGGAGGAACGCCGGAGGCGAAGGCGGCUCACUAGCCAGCUCGUGACGCUGAGGAGCGAAAGCGUGGGGAGCAAACAGGAUUAGAUACCCUAGUAGUCC
rnacentral:rRNA from 1 species